GGGGGCGGCUUCGGCCGGGAGCCGGCGGAGCCCGCUUCGGAUUCCAGGUGUGGCAGUGACUCCGCGCUCCACGUUUUGCAGGCUGCCACCGUGUCGGAGGCGAGGCGAGGAAGGGAGCUGGAAUAACAAAGGGAGGUAAUGGGGUAGAUUGGAUACCUCUGGGGUCUUGGAAGAAGCUAUGACUUAUUUACUGUCUACUAUGUGCUGAAGCCACUUGCUCAGAGCCGCACAGCAAGCCCACCACCCUGAACCUCCAGAUUACCAACUCAGCAUUGUGUCCUGACAGUGUCAUCAUAGAUGGUCAACACCGUCACCUGGGCAGCACUGAAGCCCAGAGCGGGAG
rnacentral:lncRNA from 10 species